UGGGGAAUUUUGGACAAUGGGCGCGAGCCUGAUCCAGCCAUGCCGCGUGCGGGAAGAAGGCCUUCGGGUCGUAAACCGCUUUUGUCGGGGAAGAAAUCUCUCGGGCUAAUACCUCGGGGGGAUGACGGUACCCGAAGAAUAAGCACCGGCUAACUACGUGCCAGCAGCCGCGGUAAUACGUAGGGUGCGAGCGUUAAUCGGAAUUACUGGGCGUAAAGCGUGCGCAGGCGGUCGUGCAAGACAGAUGUGAAAUCCCCGGGCUCAACCUGGGAACUGCAUUUGUGACUGCGCGGCUGGAGUACGGCAGAGGGGGAGGGAAUUCCGCGUGUAGCAGUGAAAUGCGUAGAUAUGCGGAGGAACACCGAUGGCGAAAGCAGUCCCCUGGGCCUGUACUGACGCUCAUGCACGAAAGCGUGGGGAGCAAACA
rnacentral:rRNA from 1 species